CUGCUGCCUUCCGUAGGAGUUUGGGCUGUGUCUCAGUCCCAAUGUGGCCGUCCACCCUCUCAGGCCGGCUACUGAUCGUCGCCUUGGUGGGCCGUUACCCCGCCAACAAGCUAAUCAGACGCGGGUCCAUCUUACACCACCGGAGUUUUUCACACAAAUCCAUGCGGCUUCGUGCGCUUAUGCGGUAUUAGCACCUAUUUCUAAGUGUUAUCCCCCAGUGUAAGGCAGGUUACCCACGCGUUACUCACCCGUCCGCCACUAAG
rnacentral:rRNA from 1 species